AGAGGGAUGGAUGGAGAUGGAGGGAACCAUCAUAGAAGAUGAGACAUAGAUGAGUAGAAAGAGGAGGAGAAUAAUGGGUUGUUGAUAAAAAGAGAUGGAUGUGAAGGAUGUCAUCGUAGAGGGGUGGAGUCAUGAAUGGGUUUGGAGGAAGAAAAGGAUGAUGAGGAGGAAGAAGAUGAGGAAAAAAAGUAGAUGAGGAGCAA
rnacentral:lncRNA from 1 species